UCAGUGGCCGAAGCCUGAUCCAGCCAUGCCGCGUGUGUGAAGAAGGUCUUCGGAUUGUAAAGCACUUUAAGUUGGGAGGAAGGGCAGCUAAUUAAUACUUCGCUGUUUUGACGUUACCGACAGAAUAAGCACCGGCUAACUCUGUGCCAGCAGCCGCGGUAAUUA
rnacentral:rRNA from 1 species